ncrna:unclassified sequences Glutamine-II riboswitch (downstream peptide RNA)
AAUCGUCCGAUCUGCUUACGUAGACCGCAGUUCGACUCAAGCCAAAGGACGGGGACUUGAG